AGAGAUUCUUGUUUAUCUUAGUGGCGGACGGGUGAGUAACGCGUGAGCAACCUGCCUUUCAGAGGGGGAUAACGUCUUGAAAAGGACGCUAAUACCGCAUGAUAUUAUGGAGUCACAUGGCUCUAUAAUCAAAGGAGCAAUCCGCUGAAAGAUGGGCUCGCGUCCGAUUAGGUAGUUGGCGGGAUAACAGCCCACCAAGCCGACGAUCGGUAGCCGGACUGAGAGGUUGAACGGCCACAUUGGGACUGAGACACGGCCCAGACUCCUACGGGAGGCAGCAGUGAGGGAUAUUGGUCAAUGGGGGAAACCCUGAACCAGCAACGCCGCGUGAGGGAUGACGGCCUUCGGGUUGUAAACCUCUGUCCUCUGUGAAGAUAAUGACGGUAGCAGAGGAGGAAGCUCCGGCUAACUACGUGCCAGCAGCCGCGGUAAUACGUAGGGAGCAAGCGUUGUCCGGAUUUACUGGGUGUAAAGGGUGCGUAGGCGGUUUGGUAAGUCAGAGGUGAAAUCCAUGGGCUUAACCCAUGAACUGCUUUUGAAACUAUCGAACUUGAGUGAAGUAGAGGUAGGCGGAAUUCCCGGUGUAGCGGUGAAAUGCGUAGAGAUCGGGAGGAACACCAGUGGCGAAGGCGGCCU
rnacentral:rRNA from 1 species